rnacentral:rRNA from 1 species
AAACUAACAAGGAUUCCCCUAGUAACGGCGAGUGAAGUGGGAAAAGCUCAACUUUAAAAUCUGGCACUUUCAGUGUCCGAGUUGUAGUCUCGAGAAAUGUUUUCCGCGCUGGACCACGUACGAGUCUGUUGGAACACAGCGUCAUAGAGGGUGAGAAUCCCGUUCAUGAUGUGGACUCCCAGUGCUUUGUGAUACAUUUUCGAUGAGUCGAGUUGUUUGGGAAUGCAGCUCAAAUUGGGUGGUAAAUUCCAUCUAAAGCUAAAUAUUGGCGAGAGACCGAUAGCGAACAAGUACCGUGAGGGAAAGAUGAAAAGCACUUUGGAAAGAGAGUUAACAGUACGUGAAAUUGUUGAAAGGGAAACGCUUGAAGUCAGACGUGCGUGAUGCAAUUCAACCGCAAGGUGUAUUUUGUGUCAAAGCAGGCCAGCAUCGGUUUUCCGAGUCGGAUAAAGGUAAGAGGAAGGUAGCAACUCUCGGGUUGUGUUAUAGCCUCUUACUGAAUACGAAUUGGGAGACCGAGGAACGCAGUGCGCCGCAAGGCAGCUCGAUAAGUCGAGUUUCGCACUUAGGAUGCUUGGUGAAAUGGCUUUAAACGAC